AUGUACCACGGGUCCGCUGCGGUUCUGAGCGCGCCGUCCGCGCCCCCCCGACAGCUGCUCCGGAGGGGUGUUUGCC
rnacentral:sRNA from 1 species